AAAUUGAAGAGUUUGAUCAUGGCUCAGAUUGAACGCUGGCGGCAGGCCUAACACAUGCAAGUCGAACGGUAACAGGAAGCAGCUUGCUGCUUCGCUGACGAGUGGCGGACGGGUGAGUAAUGUCUGGGAAACUGCCUGAUGGAGGGGGAUAACUACUGGAAACGGUGGCUAAUACCGCAUAACGUCGCAAGACCAAAGAGGGGGACCUUCGGGCCUCUUGCCAUCAGAUGUGCCCAGAUGGGAUUAGCUUGUUGGUGAGGUAACGGCUCACCAAGGCGACGAUCCCUAGCUGGUCUGAGAGGAUGACCAGCCACACUGGAACUGAGACACGGUCCAGACUCCUACGGGAGGCAGCAGUGGGGAAUAUUGCACAAUGGGCGCAAGCCUGAUGCAGCCAUGCCGCGUGUAUGAAGAAGGCCUUCGGGUUGUAAAGUACUUUCAGCGGGGAGGAAGGUGUUGUGGUUAAUAACCGCAGCAAUUGACGUUACCCGCAGAAGAAGCACCGGCUAACUCCGUGCCAGCAGCCGCGGUAAUACGGAGGGUGCAAGCGUUAAUCGGAAUUACUGGGCGUAAAGCGCACGCAGGCGGUCUGUCAAGUCGGAUGUGAAAUCCCCGGGCUCAACCUGGGAACUGCAUUCGAAACUGGCAGGCUUGAGUCUUGUAGAGGGGGGUAGAAUUCCAGGUGUAGCGGUGAAAUGCGUAGAGAUCUGGAGGAAUACCGGUGGCGAAGGCGGCCCCCUGGACAAAGACUGACGCUCAGGUGCGAAAGCGUGGGGAGCAAACAGGAUUAGAUACCCUGGUAGUCCACGCCGUAAACGAUGUCUACUUGGAGGUUGUGCCCUUGAGGCGUGGCUUCCGGAGCUAACGCGUUAAGUAGACCGCCUGGGGAGUACGGCCGCAAGGUUAAAACUCAAAUGAAUUGACGGGGGCCCGCACAAGCGGUGGAGCAUGUGGUUUAAUUCGAUGCAACGCGAAGAACCUUACCUGGUCUUGACAUCCACAGAAGAAUCCAGAGAUGGAUUUGUGCCUUCGGGAACUGUGAGACAGGUGCUGCAUGGCUGUCGUCAGCUCGUGUUGUGAAAUGUUGGGUUAAGUCCCGCAACGAGCGCAACCCUUAUCCUUUGUUGCCAGCGGUCCGGCCGGGAACUCAAAGGAGACUGCCAGUGAUAAACUGGAGGAAGGUGGGGAUGACGUCAAGUCAUCAUGGCCCUUACGACCAGGGCUACACACGUGCUACAAUGGCGCAUACAAAGAGAAGCGACCUCGCGAGAGCAAGCGGACCUCAUAAAGUGCGUCGUAGUCCGGAUUGGAGUCUGCAACUCGACUCCAUGAAGUCGGAAUCGCUAGUAAUCGUGGAUCAGAAUGCCACGGUGAAUACGUUCCCGGGCCUUGUACACACCGCCCGUCACACCAUGGGAGUGGGUUGCAAAAGAAGUAGGUAGCUUAACCUUCGGGGGGGCGCUUACCACUUUGUGAUUCAUGACUGGGGUGAAGUCGUAACAAGGUAACCGUAGGGGAACCUGCGGUUGGAUCACCUCCUUACCUU
rnacentral:rRNA from 1 species